GAGACUGUGGCUCAGUGGUAGAGUGCUUGCCUAGCAUGCAUGAGGCACUGGGUUUGAUCCUCAGCACCACA
rnacentral:tRNA from 1 species